CAGCGACUGGGGUGAAGUCGUAACAAGGUAGCCGUAGGGGAACCUGCGGCUGGAUCACCUCCUUUCUAAGGAUGGUUCUUCAGAAGCUUGCUUCUAUCGAACCGUUUUAGAAACAUCAGUGGCCAACGAUCGUCAGGAUCGUUGAGCUGCAUUGGCGGGAUUUCGCCGUCUUCGUUUCUCUUUCUUCGCGGACGAACACGCGCUGGGCCUGCAUGACGCAGGGUCCCUGGUCCUUGACGGGAUAUGCGUUAGGGGCUUGUAGCUCAGUUGGUUAGAGCGCGCGCUUGAUAAGCGUGAGGUCGGAAGUUCAAGUCUUCCCAGGCCCACCAGCCUUCGCGCUUCGCUGCUUCGGCUAGGCAAGCCCUUCGAUACGAAGGCUGCCGCGCCGUAGCCUUUGCGAAGGCGGGCUGAUCAAACGAGCAUUCGUCUUCUGGUUACGGGGCCAUAGCUCAGCUGGGAGAGCGCGUGCUUUGCAAGCAUGAGGUCGUCGGUUCGAUCCCGUCUGGCUCCACCAGAUGGUUUGAUCACCGAGGCUGUAUUUGCAGGUAUUCAACCGUCGUCCGCGAAACAUCACUUCGCAUCUUGCUAGUCUGGAUAGACAGCAAGUUGCGUGAUUUUUGACAUCGUAAAGAGGAGAUCGAUCCGAGUUGGAUCGGGCAGCAAGCAAUUGCUGCGCGAUACUUCAUUAUCUCCGGAUCAUUUCGGCGCUCGCGCGCCUUUUAAUGCAGCUCACAAGGCUGCGUCUGAAGGGAAUGCGGGUUGUAAAUGAUCCUUUUAGCGAAGCUUGACCGCCUCGCUAUCGGAACGAUCUUACGAAGCAAGCUGGUCUUUCUAAUCAUUGUCCGGCUGUACGUAGCGUUCAUCGAGGGCGCGUGCCGUAAGGCAAUCGUACAGACAACAUUCUGCCGAGUGUGUGGACAUUGAUAAUGAGAGCAAUCAAGUGCCUUAAGGGUGUUCGGUGGAUGCCUUGGCGCUGAGAGGCGAUGAAGGACGUGC
rnacentral:misc_RNA from 1 species